CUAGCGGGAGGCCUAACACAUGCAAGCCGAGCGGUAGGUUUCCUUCGGGAGACUGAGAGCGGCGCACGGGUGCGGAACACGUGUGCAACCUGCCUUUAUCAGGGGGAUAGCCUUUCGAAAGGAAGAUUAAUACCCCAUAAUAUAUUGAGUGGCAUCACUUGAUAUUGAAAACUCCGGUGGAUAGAGAUGGGCACGCGCAGGAUUAGAUAGUUGGUAGGGUAACGGCCUACCAAGUCAACGAUCCUUAGGGGGCCUGAGAGGGUGAUCCCCCACACUGGUACUGAGACACGGACCAGACUCCUACGGGAGGCAGCAGUGAGGAAUAUUGGACAAUGGGUGAGAGCCUGAUCCAGCCAUCCCGCGUGAAGGACGACGGCCCUAUGGGUUGUAAACUUCUUUUGUAUAGGGAUAAACCUACUCUCGUGAGAGUAGCUGAAGGUACUAUACGAAUAAGCACCGGCUAACUCCGUGCCAGCAGCCGCGGUAAUACGGAGGGUGCAAGCGUUAUCCGGAUUUAUUGGGUUUAAAGGGUCCGUAGGCUGAUUUGUAAGUCAGUGGUGAAAUCUCACAGCUCAACUGUGAAACUGCCAUUGAUACUGCAAGUCUUGAGUGUUGUUGAAGUAGCUGGAAUAAGUAGUGUAGCGGUGAAAUGCAUAGAUAUUACUUAGAACACCAAUUGCGAAGGCAGGUUACUAAGCAACAACUGACGCUGAUGGACGAAAGCGUGGGGAGCGAACAGGAUUAGAUACCCUGGUAGUCCACGCCGUAAACGAUGCUAACUCGUUUUUGGGCUUUCGGGUUCAGAGACUAAGCGAAAGUGAUAAGUUAGCCACCUGGGGAGUACGUUCGCAAGAAUGAAACUCAAAGGAAUUGACGGGGGCCCGCACAAGCGGUGGAUUAUGUGGU
rnacentral:rRNA from 1 species